rnacentral:rRNA from 1 species
UGCGUAGGCGGCCUUUCAAGUCAGGUGUAAAAUCUCCCGGCUCAACUGGGAGGGACCACUUGAUACUGUUGGGCUUGAGUACAGCAGAGGGAAGCGGAAUUCCCGGUGUAGUGGUGGAAUGCGUAGAUAUCGGGAGGAACACCAGUGGCGAAAGCGGCUUUCUGGGCUGUUACUGACGCUGUUGCACGAAAGCGUGGGGAGCAAACA